rnacentral:rRNA from 1 species
AAACCAACAGGGAUUGCCCCAGUAGCGGCGAGUGAAGCGGCAAGAGCUCAGAUUUGAAAUCGUGUUUCGGCACGAGUUGUAGAGUGUAGGCGGGAGUGUCUGCGGCGGGCAGUGUCCAAGUCCCUUGGAACAGGGCGCCACUGAGGGUGAGAGCCCCGUGGGAUGCUGCGCAAAGCUUUGAGACCCUGCUGACGAGUCGAGUUGUUUGGGAAUGCAGCUCCAAGCGGGUGGUAAAUUCCAUCUAAGGCUAAAUACUGGCGAGAGACCGAUAGCGAACAAGUACUGUGAAGGAAAGAUGAAAAGCACUUUGAAAAGAGAGUGAAACAGCACGUGAAAUUGUUGAAAGGGAAGGGUAUUGGGCCCGACAUGGGGAGUGCGCACCGUUGCCUCUUGUAGGCGGCGCUCUGGGCGCUCUGGGCGCUCUCUGGGCCAGCAUCGGUUCUUGCUGCAGGAGAAGGGGUGCCGGAACGUGGCUCUUCGGAGUGUUACAGCCGGGGCCAGAUGCUGCGUGCGGGGACCGAGGGCUGCGACAUAUGUCUCGGAUGCUGGCACAACGGCGCAAUACC